GAUGAACGCUGGCGGCGUGCCUAACACAUGCAAGUCGAACGGAAAGGGCCAAGUUUGCCCUGGUAUUCGAGUCGCGCACGGGAGUGUAACAUGUGGAUGAUCCUCGCUGCACUUCGGGACAUGCCUGGGAAACCGGUACUAAUACCGGCUAGGUCCAGUUCGUAGUUGUUGUGGUGGAAAGCUUUCUCGGUGUGGGAUGGGUUCGGGGCCUAACAGCUUGUUGGUGGAGUAGUGGCCUACCAAGGCGUAUACGGGUAGCCGGCCUGAGAGAGUGUAGGGCCAGAUUGGGACUGGGAUCCGGCCCAGGGUACUACGGGAGACAGCAGAGGGGAAGAUUGAGCAAUGGGCGGAAGCCUGAUGCAGCGACGCGGCGUGGGAGAUGACGGCCUUCGGGUUGUAAACUCCUUUCGACAAAGACGAAUUUAGGACGUUAUUUGGAGAAGAAGCACCGGCUAACUACGUG
rnacentral:rRNA from 1 species